UACGGGGGGGGGGUAAGCGUUGUUCGGACUUACUGGGCGUAAAGGGCUCGUAGGCGGCCAACUAAGUCGGACGUGAAAUCCCUCAGCUUAACUGGGGAACUGCGUCCGAUACUGGAUGGCUUGGAUUUGGGAGAGGGAUGCGGAAUUCCAGGUGUAGCGGUGAAAUGCGUAGAUAUCUGGAGGAACACCGGUGGCGAAGGCGGCAUCCUGGACCAAUAUUGACGCUGAGGAGCGAAAGCCAGGGGAGCAAACGGG
rnacentral:rRNA from 1 species